GACGAACGCUGGCGGCGUGCUUAAUACAUGCAAGUCGAACGGAAAGGCCCUGAUUUUGUGGGGUGCUCGAGAGGCGAACGGGUGAGUAAAACGUGUGUAACCCGCCCCUGACUUUGGGAUAACUUUAGGAAAAUGGGGCUAAUACCGGAUAGGAGCUCCUGCUGCAUGGUGGGGGUUGGUAAGUUUCGGCGGUUGGGGAUGGAAUCGCGGCGUAUCGGCUUGUUGGUGGGGUAGUGGCUUACAAAGGCUUUGACGGGUAGCCGGCCUGAGCGGGGGACCGGCGAAACUGGAACUGAGACAGGGUCCAGACUACUACGGGGGGCAGGAGAAGGGACUCUGCGGCAAGGGGGGAAAGCGGGCCGGAGCAACGCGGGGGGAGGGAUGAAGGUCUUGGGAUCGUAAAACUUUGUUAUUAGGGAAGAACAAAUGUGUAAGGAACUAUGCACGUCUGGACGGUACCUAAUCAGAAAGGCACGGCUAACUACGUG
rnacentral:rRNA from 1 species